GAUGAACGCUCGCUACAGGCUUAACACAUGCAAGUCGCGGGGCAGCAUGGGGGUUGCUUGCAACUCCCGAUGGCGACCGGCGCACGGGUGAGUAACGCGUAUCCAACCUGCCCUUCACCACGGGAUAACCCGGCGAAAGUCGGACUAAUACCGUAUGUUGUCCAUUGACGGCAUCCGAUUUGGACGAAAGGCUUUGCGGUGAAGGAUGGGGAUGCGUCCGAUUAGCCAGACGGCGGGGUAACGGCCCACCGUGGCUACGAUCGGUAGGGGUUCUGAGAGGAAGGUCCCCCACACUGGAACUGAGACACGGUCCAGACUCCUACGGGAGGCAGCAGUGAGGAAGAUUGGUCAAUGGGCGUAAGCCUGAACCAGCCAAGUAGCGUGCAGGAUGACGGCCCUAGGGGUUGUAAACUGCUUUUAUGCGGGGAUAAAGUGGCCCACGUGUGGGCUUUUGCAGGUACCGCAUGAAUAAGGACCGGCUAAUUCCGUG
rnacentral:rRNA from 1 species